rnacentral:rRNA from 1 species
UACAGAGGGUGCGAGCGUUGUCCGGAAUCACUGGGCGUAAAGGGCGCGUAGGUGGCGACCCAAGUCUGUGGUGAAAGCUCGAUGCUUAACAUCGAGUCGGCCGCGGAAACUGGGUGGCUCGAGCACUGUAGGGGCAGAUGGAAUUCCGGGUGUAGCGGUGGAAUGCGUAGAGAUCCGGAAGAACACCGGUGGCGAAGGCGGCGCUCUGGAACAUUUCUGACGCUGAGGCUCGAAAGCGUGGGGAGCAAACAGG